rnacentral:rRNA from 1 species
AGGACGAACGCUGGCGGCGCGCUUAACACAUGCAAGUCGAGCGAGAACCAGGCCUUCGGGCCUGGGGAAAGCGGCGAACGGGUGAGUAACACGUGGGUAACCCACCCUUGGUACCGGGAUAGCCCGAGGAAACUCGGAUUAAUACCGGAUGGCCCAACAGCUCUUCGGGGCGGUUGGAAAAGGUAGCUUCGGCCUCCGACCAAGGACGGGCCCGCGGCGGAUUAGCUUGUUGGUGGGGUAACGCCUACCAAGGCGACGAUCUGUAGCUGGUCUGAGAGGACGAUCAGCCACACUGGGACUGAGACACGGCCCAGACUCCUACGGGAGGCAGCAGUGGGAAUCUUGCGCAAUGGACGACAGUCUGACGCAGCGACGCCGCGUGGGGGAAGAAGGCUUUCGGGUUGUAAACCCCUUUCAGGAAGGACGAAGCCACUCGGGUUAAUAGCCCAGAGGGUGACGGUACUUCCAGAAGAAGCUCCGGCUAACUACGCGCCAGCAGCCGC